UACGGAGGAUGCGAGCGUUAUCCGGAUUUAUUGGGUUUAAAGGGUGCGUAGGCGGCUUUUUAGGUCAGCGGUGAAAUUUUGCAGCUUAACUGUAACAGUGCCGUUGAUACUGGGGAGCUAGGAUUUGGUUGCUGUGGGUGGAAUGUGUGGUGUAGCGGUGAAAUGCUUAGAGAUCACACAGAAUAUCGAUUGCGAAGGCAGCUUACUAAUCCAUCAUUGACGCUGAGGCACGAAAGCGUGGGGAUCAAACAGGAUUA
rnacentral:rRNA from 1 species